CCACCCCCCACCAGGUGUCUCCCAUCUCCCCUCACCUGUCUUUGUGUUUGUCCCCCCCCACCAGGUGUCUCCAUCUCCCCUCACCUGUCUUUGUGCUGGUCUCCACCCCCCACCAGGUGUCUCCAUCUCCCCUCACCUGUCUUUGUGCCUGUCUCCACCCCCCACCAGGUGUCUCCGUCUCCCCUCACCUGUCUUUGUGCCUGUCUCCACCCCCCACCAGGUGUCUCCAUCUCCCCUCACCUGUCUUUGUGCUGGUCUCCACCCCCACCAGGUGUCUCCGUCUCCCCUCACCUGUCUUUGUGCUUGUCUCCACCCCC
ensembl:lncRNA